UUCUCCUUCAAGGCAUACUCAACCUCAAGAAAACCCCAGAAGGAGACAACAUGGUGUGGUAGCAUGUGCAACAGCCAUGUUCCAGCAGAGAUCUAUCACCAGUGCCUUGGUUUCUCCCGCUACUAAAGGACAGUGGAGCAAUGUCAGGAGUGUGGGAAAUUUGGAAAUGAACUGCUGAGCCUGGAAGAAGCAAGCCAAGAGCUGUCAAAAAGUAGGGAAAGCCUGCCUGGACUGUCUCCAAAGAGAUUUGAGACUAAGAGGACCAAAGCCAUCUCAGUACGUCGCUGGAAUGAACUUGCAGCAUGGCAGCGUGCCCAGGCAGCUCGUUGCUCUGGCGCUGCAGUGGAGCUGGAAAAGGCAGGGAGGGGAUACGGGAGCACAGCUCUGUCCUUGCCACGGCUGGAGGCUCCCUGACCAUCGCUCUCUUCAGCCAGCACAGCCCCACUGCGGCUCCUGCCCGUGGGGCUGCACAGCCACGGCACAGAAUGAAACCUCCCUCACGCCCUGUAGCAUUCUGCAAAUCUACUGAAAGACCAGCAGUACCUCGUGAGGAGCUAACUGGGGAAUGUCAACCGGACAUAGCGGUGCUAAAGUCAAAAGUCAGCAUCUUGCAAAGGGCUAAGGCCUCCCUGCCACAAGAACUCAGAUCCCAGAGCUACUGA
rnacentral:lncRNA from 1 species